rnacentral:rRNA from 1 species
AACUUUUAGCGAUGGAUGUCUAGGUUCUCGCAACGAUGAAGAACGCAGCGAAAUGCGAUACGUAAUGCGAAUUGCAGAAUCCGUGAAUCAUCAAAUCUUUGAACGCACAUUGCACUUCUUCAUUUGAAGAAGUAUUGCUGUUUGAGUGUC